rnacentral:rRNA from 1 species
GAUGAACGCCGGCGGCGUGCUUAACACAUGCAAGUCGAACGGUGAAGCAGAGCUUGCUCUGUGGAUCAGUGGCGAACGGGUGAGUAACACGUGAGCAACCUGCCCCUGACUCUGGGAUAAGCGCUGGAAACGGCGUCUAAUACUGGAUAUGAGCUGCGACCGCAUGGUCAGCAGUUGGAAAGAUUUUUCGGUCUGGGAUGGGCUCACGGCCUAUCAGCUUGUUGGUGAGGUAAUGGCUCACCAAGGCGUCGACGGGUAGCCGGCCUGAGAGGGUGACCGGCCACACUGGGACUGAGACACGGCCCAGACUCCUACGGGAGGCAGCAGUGGGGAAUAUUGCACAAUGGGCGAAAGCCUGAUGCAGCAACGCCGCGUGAGGGAUGACGGCCUUCGGGUUGUAAACCUCUUUUAGCAGGGAAGAAGCGAAAGUGACGGUACCUGCAGAAAAAGCGCCGGCUAACUACGUG